AUCAUGCUGACGAAUCCCAAAUAGGACGAAACGCGCGUUGUGGAU
rnacentral:hammerhead_ribozyme from 1 species